rnacentral:rRNA from 1 species
CGGCGGACGGGUGAGUAAUGCCUAGGAAUCUGCCUGGUAGUGGGGGACAACGUUUCGAAAGGAACGCUAAUACCGCAUACGUCCUACGGGAGAAAGCAGGGGACCUUCGGGCCUUGCGCUAUCAGAUGAGCCUAGGUCGGAUUAGCUAGUUGGUGAGGUAAUGGCUCACCAAGGCUACGAUCCGUAACUGGUCUGAGAGGAUGAUCAGUCACACUGGAACUGAGACACGGUCCAGACUCCUACGGGAGGCAGCAGGU